CCAUGUUCAAACAGGACAACCCUUAGUAGUAGCUAAGAAUUAGAGUGUUUGACUCUAAUUCUGUAAAUAUUUGUGCAAAAAUCAUAUACAAAUGUGUAUGUGUAUGUAGAAUAUAACAUCGAUUUACCUCGGCACUUUGAGGAGUUUUUGGGCUUAAGGAAGAGCUCACCUUCUUCCAGAUCUGUUUCUUCAGGAAUGAGGAAAUGAUGGAAGCCCACAGGAAAUGUGUAGGGUUUAAGAGCUCGGGGGAGAAUCUAGGGGAAAGGAAGGGACUUGAUAGAGUUGUCAAAAAAUAAUUUCUCCAUUUUUCACCUCAGUUAAUCUACUCCUCUUGCACUUCAACACCCUCAGAACAUUUUUUUUCUCUGUUAUCCUCAAAUAUGGUUGUGUCCCUAGUAAUUAUUGAGGGAAGCUUUUCCCAGCAGCAACUCCUAGGUAAUCCACUGGUCUUGCAAUGGUGAGUUAAAGGAAGAAGUCAGGAGAUUGCCCUCAGUUGGUUAGGCUUAGUUUGCCAUGAUGUUACUUUUUGUUGAGGCAAAUGAGGUGGUGAGAGAUUUUUUAAAAUGUUUUCCCAGAUAUUGUAUGAUUUCAAUCAUAUAUGGAAUUUGAGAAAUUACGUAACAGAUGAACAUAGAGGAAGGGAAGGAAAAAUAAGAUAAAAACAGAGAGGGAGGCAAACCAUAAGAGACUCUUAAAUACAGAGAACAAACUGAGGGUUGAUGGGAGUAGGGGGUGGGUUAAAUGGGUGAGAGGCAUUAAGAAGGGCACUUUUUGGGAUGAGCACUGGAUGUCGUGUAAGAGAUGAAUCACUGGGUUCUACUCCUGAAGCCAAGAAUACACUGGAUGGUAACGAACUUGAGAACUAAAAAAAGUGUUUUCCCUAGUCUUGAAAUGUAUAUAAGGACAUCAUAGAUGCAAAUAGAGACACUGGAUUGCCAUAGUUCUUGUCCUUUCUUUACAAUACAAGGACACUCUUGCAAGGAGAGGAGAGUGCUGUCACCUACUGAACUGCUUCACAAGGAGAAGGCAGAAAAAAAAAAAGUUGUAGAAACAGUUUCUCAUCUGGAUCACUGUAAGAUACAGAGGAUUUACUGGCUGGUACUGGAAUGGUUCAAGAGGGUUUUUUGUUUAACUGAUCAGAGCCUUAAAGCAGAAGAAGAAGGAGAAGGAGAAGGAGGAGGAGGAGGAGGAGGAGGAGAAGGAGAAGGAGAAGGAGAAGAAGAAGAAGAAGAAGGAGGAGGAGGAGAGGAAGAAAGAAGAAGAGGGGGAGAGGGGGGGGAAAUAGGAAUUUCAGUAUAUCUACCUUACUCCAUUUGUUCCAUUUUGCUUCAAAUAGGUUUUAUGAUGAGUUGGCAUUUUAAAAUAAAUAUCCUAUUAGUCUGAUGAGAGGAGGAGAACACACUGACAUGUGAUUUGAAGAAAAAUUUAGGUUUGAAUGGAAAAUAAGUUUCGAUGAUAUUAUAGUAACUGCCUUAUUCUUCGAACAUUAUUUUCUGAGAACAAAGAAAAUAAAUAUAACCUUUCUUUCCUCCUUCCUUUCUUG
rnacentral:lncRNA from 1 species